ensembl:lncRNA
UGGCGGGGAAAUCUCAGAGGGAGUUAUUCGCAUUUCUGCAACUGUUGCUCUUUCAGUUUAAUCCCUUAUGUGUGUUAAACCAUGCGCAUUAAAAUGAGUUUUCCCUUCGUAGUAUUUCUCUUCUGAACGUCUCCGAGGUCUUUUCUGCCCUAAAGCUCGAGAGAGGGAGAGUCUCACAGCAGAAAAACACACCGCGUGUCAGAUGUUCUCAUGAUGGACAGCGUUUGUAUUUAAGCCAGGCUGCUUGCGUUUAUGCAACGAUCGGCUUCUUGCGUUUAGCUCAUGUAAAUUUGUCAUUCUGAUCACGCACACAGCAGCAGGACGGAGGAAAUAGUAACAAAUAAAUAGUGUGCUCACGGAAAGUGAGGACUGCAGUGGCAAUGGUUGUAAUCACAAUAGUACAUGAGCAGGGUAUAUAUGCAAUAGAGAGAAAGCCAUUUCGUUAAUAAAUCAGCAUUAUGGAAGCUCCUUUUGCUUUUUUGUAACUCUGCCAACACUGAAAUAAGCAUACCCGAGCUGUUCUAUGAUUCCUCUGGAUUAUUCCUGUAAAUUCCUGAUGGGACAAAGUGCAUCUGCUGCCAUCAUGGAGCGUGUGCGUCCAGUAGAAGGGGGAGGUCCUCAGCCUGCGCCGCACAGCAACACACACACACACGUUUCUCCAGACGCAUUGGUGUUUGCUUUGGCUCUCCCGUGUCUCCAGCAGAGGGGUCAUCAGAAGCAGUCUCCUGCCUGAAGCCCGGCGGUCGUGAUCCGAGGCCCGGCCCCCUUCUCCGGGGGGACUCAAGUCAGAGACGAGCAGGAACACGAGCAGCAGCCACGUCCUCAUCGUGCUGAGACUGAGUUCUGUUAUCUGCACUGCAGCUUUCUCAUUUCACUUUGAAUAUGCAAACCGUACAGCAAACGGGGCCUUUGCUCUCUGGAGGUGCAGGCAAAGAGGCAACUUUCUGUCUCAAGGAGAGAAUAGUUUGUAACCCGUCCACCUCAGAUUUGAUUGUUUUUGUGUAACGUCUAGUGGGACAGUUGUAAUACAUCAUAUUUCAAAUAAAAAAAUGCAUUUAUUGGUAUGAAACUGAGUGAGAAAAUACUUUAAAACAAUUUCCAUUUUUAUAACGAUUAAGGAAUGUAUUUAUUUGUACUAUUAAUGUCUAUUCACUGACAGAAAUGUGAUUGGCCAGUAACAGGGACGCGGGGCGUGAGAGGCGGCUCUAUUGGGGCAGGUGCAUCUCCACAGUACGUUGCCCAACCCUGGCUGGGUCCUGCGUUUUUGCAUUUUAUCAGAUAUUAUCUAUAAGACACCUACUGCUGAGCUCCGGAGGACAGACGGCGUGCGUUAUUGUCUCCGUGCCUUCGGUGAAGCAGCAGAUACAAUGACGGGUGGAGAACAGGGGACAGCCUCAAGCAAAACAACGAAAUGGGGAACCUCAUGAACACGGCGUGCCAGAUGAGCAACUACAGCAAAAGGAACGUGCGCGUGUACGUCACGGAGAAGGCCCUGCCGCUCGACGCCUUCAUCGCGCCGCUGGCCGGAGGCGAGCAGACCGUCCCGGCCGUGCACCCCGGGGACAAGAAGUUCAGCUUCCGGGCGGAGGUGGAAUGCGUCCGCGUGCUGGCCUCUCAGACCCAGCAGGUGCCCUGGGAGGCUCGCCGCUUCGUGUCCGUCUUCGUGGAGGACGCAGACGACGAGGCGAUCUGCUCCAAGCAGAUCAUGCACAACAUGGAGCCCAGUGCCCCGGUGACCGUGCUGCUCUACGACCUGUAGGUCCACCGCCGCCUUCGUGCACCGCGUUGCUACCUGUAGCGGCUCUAAAUAAAGCUUGUUGAUGCAACCACACGUGGGGUGUUUUCGUGCAUUGCUGUCGACAUGAAAUAAAUGUCUUUUCCCGCCUUCCCGUCUGUCAUUUCGGAGGUAAAAUGAUGUUCCGCGGCGUCACUGGCCUUGCGUGACCGGCCAUCUGUUAUCACCCGCCUCGCUCCCCGAUCUCAGGGUUGUUGCUGAACAGCGCAGGCUUUGUUCCCGCUGCAGGGCUGUGCGUUAUUAG